rnacentral:rRNA from 1 species
AGAGUUGAUCAUGGCUCAGGAUGAACGCUGGCGGCGUGCCUAACACAUGCAAGUCGAACGAGAACUCUAGGAUGAGACUUCGGUGGAUUCUUGGAAAUUCUAGUGGCGGACGGGUGAGUAACGCGUGGGUAACCUGCCCUUAAGAGGGGGAUAACAGAGAGAAAUUUCUGCUAAUACUCCAUAUGCUUACAGAGCUGCAUGGCUCAGUGAGGAAAUGAAUUUCGCUUAAGGAUGGACCCGCGUUUGAUUAGCCAGUUGGUGGGGUAACGGCCUACCAAAGCUACGAUCAAUAGCCGGCCUGAGAGGGUGAACGGCCACAUUGGGACUGAGACACGGCCCAAACUCCUACGGGAGGCAGCAGUGGGGAAUAUUGCACAAUGGAGGAAACUCCGAUGCAGCAACGCCGCGUGAGUGAAGAAGUAUUUCGGUAUGUAAAGCUCUAUCGAUGGGAAAUAUAAUGAAGGUACCCAAGUAAGAAGCCCCGGCUAACUACGUGCCAGCAGCCGC